AAAGUCGUAACAAGGUUUCCGUAGGUGAACCUGCGGAAGGAUCAUUACCGAGUUAGGGUUCGUCUCACGAGCCCGAUCUCCCAACCCUUUGUCUAUCUUACCUUGUCGUUGCUUCGGCGGACCGGCCGUGACCAACUGGUCGUGGCCGCCGGGGGUUUCAUCCCCUGGAGAGCGUCUGCCGAUGGCCCAACCACAAACUCUUGUCCCAAACCAUGUCGUCUGAAUUACUUGAUUAAAAUCAAAAAACAAAACUUUCAACAACGGAUCUCUUGGUUCUG
rnacentral:misc_RNA from 1 species